UAGCUGCGAUAAAUAGUGCGAAUUGCAGACACAUUGAGCACUAAAAUUUCGAACGCACAUUGCGCCAUCGGGUUCAUUCCCGUUGGCACGUCUGGCUGAGGGUCAGA
rnacentral:rRNA from 1 species